rnacentral:sRNA from 1 species
UCCUUAGUGCUCCUACAUAUAGCUAACA